AUGCUCACUUCAGCAGCACAUAUACUAACCCUGGAACAAUACAGAGAAGAUGAACAUAGCCCCUGUGCAAGGGUGACAUGAAAAUUUGUGAAGCACUCCAUAUUUUU